CAUAAAAAACGUAUUUAUAAAUUUUCUGCAGCUCAUUCUCCUCCAAUUCCCCAGCUUCUGCCCUUCCAUUUUCAAUUUUUUUCCCCUAAAUUAUAUAUUUUUCGAUGGCUUCACCCUCUCAAGCAAGUCUUCUCCUUCAGAAGCAGCUCAAAGAUCUGUGCAAACACCCCGUGGAUGGAUUUUCGGCCGGAUUGUUGGAUGAGACCAAUCUGUUUGACUGGAGUGUUACAGUUAUUGGGCCUCCGGAUACUUUGUAUGAAGGAGGUUUCUUCAAUGCUAUAAUGAGUUUCCCAUCAGAUUACCCAAACAGUCCUCCAACAGUAAGAUUUACCUCAGAAGUGUGGCAUCCCAAUGUAUAUGCUGAUGGAAAGGUUUGCAUUUCGAUUCUUCAUCCCCCUGGUGAUGAUCCAAACGGCUAUGAGCUUGCUAGUGAGCGAUGGUCACCUGUCCACACGGUGGAGAGUAUAGUUCUUAGCAUCAUAUCAAUGCUUUCAAGCCCUAAUGACGAAUCUCCUGCUAAUGUCGAAGCUGCUAAAGAAUGGAGAGACCGAAGGGAUGAUUUCAAGAAGAAAGUAAGUCGUUGCGUAAGACGGUCUCAAGAAAUGCUAUAAGCAAAGUUACCAAAUGCUGCUUCCUGCUUCCUUUGUUUCACCGACUUGUGCAAACAAGCCGAUUUUGUAACAACCAUACCUUAUCAUCUCUUAAUGGCUUUUUGUGUUUUUGGCCUAUAUUAGAUUCGAGUAGAAUCCAUUCACAGUUGCACAUGGACUUGCUGAAAUUCUAUGGGAAAUGUUUUUGACUGUGCUUUCCAAGGGCAAGGGGAGUCGGCUCUCCUAUACUCAUCUCCAAGCCAUAUGAGAAUCCUUGUGGAGCAAGUUGCUUGGGGAAGGAGUGGAGAUGAUAGGUUAGUUGAAAAGGUGCAAAUUUGGGUUUUGGGGGUGGGGUGGUUUUGAAGGAAAAAAUUAUAAUGGUUCGGACAUAUUGCUCAUAAUUGCAUAAAAAUAUAAAUACAUUAUAUUCCUUAUAUUGUUAUUGACUGGAUAGACCAUGUGAGAACAUAUGUGGACUACUAAACUUUUACUUGUGGAUUUGCACUUAAUCAAGAAUUAGAUUUGAGAUUUACUUUGUCAAUAUCUUUGGGGAUGUGUUUUCACAUUAUGUGUGGCAAAUGUGCAAAGUUAAUUUUGUAAUACAGUUAACAGAGCUAUCAUUUAUGUCACCAUCGCCAAAAAAAGAGAAAAGAAAAAAGGGGAAAAGGCACAAAUUUACAAUCUGGCCUUUGUUGAAAAGGCAAUUUUAAUACAUUUAGCCAGAAUUCAUUUGGCUUACAAAACAGCAACAGAAUUUACAUAUCUAAUCAGUUUCAGAAAUGCGAGAUAGCAAUUCCAGUAUGGCGUAGCUGUCUUAGAAAUUCCUGACCCAUUCAUGCUAUAUCGACAACGAAAAUGAGCUCCCACGACGUGUUUUAGCCUCUACGAAGCCCUUUGACGGGGAACUACAUAUAUAGCACCAUCAGCAGCUAAGAAAGGUUAACAUACCUCAUGUCCAGAAAUUAAGGGAUAUGCAGAGAUGUAGUGGGAAGUCACAAGACGUUCGUCUAGAGGCGAUUGCUCCAGUCGCAACACCUCCAGUUUCGUCGUUUGAAGUGAUUCUUGUGUAGUAAAUGUAAUAUCUCCAUUUCUGCAAGACAAUUUGAUACCUCAGAGUGCAUAAAUCCUGUCGAUGUCAGAAUUAGAAAACUCAGAGUGAUGCCAUGAGUUCGAGCCGCUCCG